rnacentral:rRNA from 1 species
UAACCUGCCCAAGAGAUCGGGAUAACACCUGGAAACAGAUGCUAAUACCGGAUAACAACAGAUGAUGCCUAUCAACUGUUUAAAAGAUGGUUCUGCUAUCACUCUUGGAUGGACCUGCGGUGCAUUAGCUAGUUGGUAGGGUAACGGCCUACCAAGGCGAUGAUGCAUAGCCGAGUUGAGAGACUGAUCGGCCACAUUGGGACUGAGACACCGGACCCAAACUCCUACGGGAGGCAGCAGAA